rnacentral:rRNA from 1 species
UACGUAGGGUGCGAGCGUUAAUCGGAAUUACUGGGCGUAAAGCGUGCGCAGGCGGUCCGUUAAGACAGUCGUGAAAGCCCCGGGCUUAACCUGGGAACUGCGAUUGUGACUGGCGGGCUAGAGUGUGUCAGAGGGGGGUGGAAUUCCACGUGUAGCAGUGAAAUGCGUAGAGAUGUGGAGGAACACCGAUGGCGAAGGCAGCCCCCUGGGAUAACACUGACGCUCAUGCACGAAAGCGUGGGGAGCAAACAGG